UACGGAGGGUGCAAGCGUUGUCCGGAUUUAUUGGGUUUAAAGGGAGCGUAGGCGGUCUUUUAAGUCAGUGGUGAAAUCCUCCAGCUUAACUGGAGAACUGCCAUUGAUACUGAAAGACUUGAGUACAGACGAGGUAGGCGGAAUUGACAGUGUAGCGGUGAAAUGCAUAGAUAUUGUCAAGAACACCGAUUGCGAAGGCAGCUUACUAGACUGUAACUGACGCUGAGGCUCGAAAGUGCGGGGAUCAAACAGG
rnacentral:rRNA from 1 species